CCAGACUCCUACGGGAGGCAGCAGUGGGGAAUAUUGCACAAUGGGGGAAACCCUGAUGCAGCGACGCCGCGUGAGUGAAGAAGUAUUUCGGUAUGUAAAGCUCUAUCAGCAGGGAAGAAAAUGACGGUACCUGACUAAGAAGCCCCGGCUAACUACGUGCCAGCAGCCGCGGUAAUACGUAGGGGGCAAGCGUUAUCCGGAUUUACUGGGUGUAAAGGGAGCGUAGACGGCAUGGCAAGUCAGAUGUGAAAGCCCGGGGCUCAACCCCGGGACUGCCCUUGGAACUGCGUGGCUGGAGUGCAGGAGGGGCAGGCGGAAUUCCUGGUGUAGCGGUGAAAUGCGUAGAUAUCAGGAGGAACACCGGCGGCGAAGGCGGCCUGCUGGACCGCGACUGACGUUGAGGCUCGAAAGCGUGGGGAGCAAACAGGAUUAGAUACCCUAGUAU
rnacentral:rRNA from 1 species